rnacentral:snRNA from 1 species
GGAUGUGAGGGCUAUCUGACUGCUACAUCUGUCACCCCACUGAUCGCCAGGGUUGAUUUGGCUGAUCUGGCUGACUAGGUGGGUGUCCCCUUCCUCCCUCACUGUUGUUCCAUGUGCAUUCCUCCCAAAGCUGUGUCCUCAGUUGAAAAGGACUAACUUCUCCAAAUAGAAGAGACCUGGUCUUUCAUCAAGGGUAUACGAGUAGCUGUGCUCCCCUGUUGGAACCUCCAAACAAGCUCAAGGUCCAAAUCCAAGAACACAUCAAAGAUGUCUUCCUCCAUGACUAAGUAGGUGUCAUACCAG